UUUUGAGACGGAUUCUUGCUCUGUUGCCCAGCCUGGAAUGCGGUGGCGUGAUUUCAGCUCACCACAACCUCCACCCACUGGGUUCACGCGAUUCUCCUGCCUCAGCCUCCCGAGUAACUGGGAUUACAGGCAUGUGCCACUGUGCCCGGCUAAUUUUUGUAUUUUUAGUAGAGACAGGCUUUCGCCAUGUUGUCCAGGCUGCUCUUGAACCCCUGAUCUCAGGUGAUCUGCCCGCCUCGGCCUCCCAAAGUGCUGGGACUACAGGCAUGAGCCACCGUGCCCAGCCCUGGCUGCAUUUUUAUUUUAGAUUUUUAUCUUAUUAAAAAUUUUUAACUAUUAAAAAUAACUAUUUUAACUAUUUUGACAUAAUUUAAAACUCACACUCCCAGAGAAGUUGCAAAAAUCCCUUUUAUCCAGAUUAACCAGAUCUUUUUUUUUUUUUUUUUUUGAGAUGGAGUCUUGCUGUGUGGCCCAGGCUGGAGUGCAGUGGAUCUCCACUCACUGCAACCUCUGCCUCCCGGGUUCAGGCAAGUCUCCUGUCUCAACCUCCUGAGUAGCUGGGACUACAGUUGCACACCACCACGCCCAGCUAAUUUUUUUGUUUUUUUAGUAGAUGUGGGCUUUCAUCAUGGUGGUUAGGCUGGUCUCGAACUCUUGACCUCAGGUGAUCCACCCACCUCUGCCUCCCAAAGUGCUGGGAUUACAGGCGUGAGCCACUGUACCUGGCCAGAUGUUAAUCUUUUUAACCGCAUUUGCCUUAUUAUUCUUUUUUUUUUCUUUUCUUGAGACAGAGUUUCGCUCUUGUUGCCCAGGCUGGAGUGCAAUGGCAUAAUCUCAGCUCACCACAACCUCCCACUCCUGGGUUCAAGCACUCCUCCUGCCUCAGCCUCCCGAGUAGCUGGGAUUACAGGCAUGUGCCACCAUGCCCGGCCUCUUCUCUUUCUUAUGCGCACACACCACACAUACAAGUAUAUGUGUGUGUGUGUGUGUGUGUGUGUGUGUGUGUGUGAUUUUUUAAUGAAUAUUUGGGAAUGAAUUGCAGACGUGAUGCCCAUUUACCCCUAAAAUACUUCAGUGUAUGUUUCCUGAAUCAAAGCAAGGACAUAAUGUUACAAACCACAGCACAGCUGUCAAAAUCAAGAAAACAACACUGAAACAUCACAACCUUCUAAUUCAUACCCCUACUCAAUUUCACCAGUUGGCCAGGUGUGGUGGCUCACGCCUGUCAUCCCAGCACUUUGGGAGGCUGAAGUGGGCAGAUUACCUGAGGUCAGGAGUUGGAGAUGGGCCUGGCCAACAUGGAGAAACCCCACCUCUAGUAAAAAUACAAAAAUUAGCUGGGUGUGGUGGCACGUGCCUGUAAUCCCAGCUGGGAGGCUGAGGCAGGAGAAUCACUUGAAUCGGAGAGGUGGAGGUUGCAGUGAGCCG
rnacentral:lncRNA from 10 species